AGGAUGAACGCUGGCGGCGUGCUUAACACAUGCAAGUCGAACGAACCUUCGGGUUAGUGGCGGACGGGUGAGUAACGCGUGAGAAUCUGCCCUCAGGAGGGGGAUAACGGUUGGAAACGGCCGCUAAUACCCCAUAUGCCGAGAGGUGAAAUGAAUUUCGCCUGAGGAUGAGCCCGCGUCUGAUUAGCUAGUUGGUGAGGUAAGAGCUCACCAAGGCAUCGAUCAGUAGCUGGUCUGAGAGGAUGAUCAGCCACACUGGGACUGAGACACGGCCCAGACUCCUACGGGAGGCAGCAGUGGGGAAUUUUCCGCAAUGGGCGAAAGCCUGACGGAGCAACGCCGCGUGAGGGAUGAAGGCCUCUGGGCUGUAAACCUCUUUUAUCAAGGAAGAAGAUCUGACGGUACUUGAUGAAUAAGCCACGGCUAAUUCCGUGCCAGCAGCCGCGGUAAUACGGGAGUGGCAAGCGUUAUCCGGAAUUAUUGGGCGUAAAGCGUCCGCAGGCGGCCCUACAAGUCUGCUGUUAAAAAGUGGAGCUUAACUCCAUCAUGGCAGUGGAAACUGUUGGGCUUGAGUGUGGUAGGGGCAGAGGGAAUUCCCGGUGUAGCGGUGAAAUGCGUAGAUAUCGGGAAGAACACCAGUGGCGAAGGCGCUCUGCUGGGCCAUCACUGACGCUCAUGGACGAAAGCCAGGGGAGCGAAAGGGAUUAGAUACCCCUGUAGUCCUGGCCGUAAACGAUGAACACUAGGUGUCGGGGGAAUCGACCCCUCCGGUGUCGUAGCCAACGCGUUAAGUGUUCCGCCUGGGGAGUACGCACGCAAGUGUGAAACUCAAAGGAAUUGACGGGGGCCCGCACAAGCGGUGGAGUAUGUGGUUUAAUUCGAUGCAACGCGAAGAACCUUACCAGGGUUUGACAUCCUGCGAAUCUCUUGGAAACUUGAGAGUGCCUUCGGGAGCGCAGUGACAGGUGGUGCAUGGCUGUCGUCAGCUCGUGUCGUGAGAUGUUGGGUUAAGUCCCGCAACGAGCGCAACCCACGUCUUUAGUUGCCAGCAUUUAGUUGGGCACUCUAGAGAGACCGCCGGUGAUAAACCGGAGGAAGGUGUGGAUGACGUCAAGUCAUCAUGCCCCUUACAUCCUGGGCUACACACGUACUACAAUGCUACGGACAAAGGGCAGCAAGUUCGCGAGGACAAGCAAAUCCCAUAAACCGUGGCUCAGUUCAGAUCGUAGGCUGCAACUCGCCUACGUGAAGGAGGAAUCGCUAGUAAUCGCAGGUCAGCAUACUGCGGUGAAUACGUUCCCGGGCCUUGUACACACCGCCCGUCACACCAUGGAAGUUGGCCACGCCCGAAGCCGUUACUCCAACCCUUGUGGAGGAGGACGUCGAAGGUGGGGCUGAUGACUGGGGUGAAGUCGUAACAAGGUAGCCGUACCGGAAGG
rnacentral:rRNA from 1 species